CUCCCAGCAUUCUUCUGUGCCCAUCUCCACCACAGGCCCCAGCUGGCAAUAAACUUGUGCUGAGGAUCUUCCAGUUCACCGAGUGCAUUGUGGAUGGCAUGAGCAUGCCUUUCCCCUCUGCUUGCCUGAUGCCAAGGGUCAGACAGGUCAUCCUGAGCCAUGGUUUGAAGACCAGAAGAGGAACUGUUCUAGUCCUUCAGUGCCGUUUCUAUCAAGAUAAAGUCCCAGACCAGCCCCCAAGUUACAGCCAUGGAAACAAAUACUGAUGGGGAGAUGCUGAGCACGUUACGUGAGCCCACACAGGACCUCAAGUGACGAGAACCUGAGGUUUUGCACAGCUUUGCGGAGAGAGGAGCAAGCUUUCAAAUAACCAUCUGCCUCACUUUCAAGUAGCUGUGUUGAGAUAGACCCAAGGUCCAGCAAGCCUGUUAUGCUCUCUGGGGCAGAAACCCCUAGCAAAUCUACAGAAAAACAUCAGAGGAAGUCAAACACAAAGUAGUUCUCCUGAUCUAUUUUCCUUUUGGUGUUCUGUGUUCAGAAAGUCCCACAACCUUACCGGGCUGCAUAACAAAUAUAAAAUUUUGUUGACUUCAAGCCUCUUUUGCUCCUUGUGUCAAAAUGAGUAAACAUUUUCCUCUUCAGAAAGUUCUUCACAGCAUUUGUCAUUUUAUAAACCUCAGCCACCUUCUUUUCCAAGGGUUCUAAAUUUAGCUUUUUUUUUUUUUCCUCACAUGGAAGCAGAUACAUACAAUUACCCACAAGACAACCACUAUCAAACAAAACUCUUGUUACUGAAACUCUUCCAAAAAAUAACUUAUUUAAAAUUAUCCUAGCAGUGCAAAUAUCCGAUGAUCAGGCAGAUUUGCAAAACCUGCCUGGAGCAAAAUCAUGCAAUUAGAAUCAUGCUCAUAAGUGUUGGAGUCUUAAAACAUUAAUAGAUCAUUUUAAUGGAAGGAGUUAUUAAAAUUUGUAUUUGAUUUGCAUUAUUACAACACUGAAUGCACUAUGGAAAGCUGAGUUCAUGAGGGAAGUGCAGCACAAAACAGAUUCGUAUUAUCUGACUUGGAACUUUAAAAUAGACUGUGCUUUACAGUUCUGCCUGAAUUUUCUUUAGUUUUAUUACUCUUCUAAAUUGAUAUGAACUCCUGUUUUUAUCUUAGAAAUAGGAAAUGAGGAGGAGGAUAAGCAAAUGGCUUCAGAUUGAAAUAAAGCUUUGGAAAAGUAAUUUGAACA
rnacentral:lncRNA from 1 species